CGUAAGCUCCCUUUCGUUUUUUUUUUAUUUCAGUUUUAAGUUUUGGAUUUAUGGGGCUUUAUUCAUAAAAAAGGUGGAUUUUCAAACUUCGGACAAUAACUCAAAAAGGCUUUCACCAAUGUCCAUGAAACUUUGGUGAAUUGUUUAUAUCUAUUGAUGUAAGCUCCCUUUCGUUUUUUUUUAAUUUCAGAUUUUAAGUUUUGGAUUUAUGGGGCUUUAUUCAUAAAAAAAGGGGGAUUUUCAACACUUCGGACAAUUACUCAAAAAGGCUUUCACCAAUGUCCAUGAAACUUUGGUGAAUUGUUUAUAUCUAUUGAUGUAAGCUCCCUUUCAAUUUUUAUAAAUUUCAGAUUUUAAGUUUUGGAUUUAUGGGGCUUUAUUCAUAAAAAAAGGGGGAUUUUUAACACUUCGGACAAUUACUCAAAAAGGC
rnacentral:lncRNA from 1 species